AGCAGGCGCGCAAAUUACCCAAUCCCGACACGGGGAGGUAGUGACAAUAAAUAACAAUACGGGGUUCUUUCGGAUCUCGUAAUUGGAAUGAGUACAAUUUAAAUCUCUUAACGAGGAACAAUUGGAGGGCAAGUCUGGUGCCAGCAGCCGCGGUAAUUCCAGCUCCAAUAGCGUAUAUUAAAGUUGUUGCAGUUAAAAAGCUCGUGGUUGAAUUUCGGGAUNAGANUGUCGGUCGUGCCUCGGUACGCACUGGCAUUAUUGGUUCCUACCUUCUGAAGAACCGCGAUGUCAUUAAUUUGGUGUCGUGGGGAAUCAGGACUGUUACUUUGAAAAAAUUAGAGUGUUUAAAGCAGGCGCACGCUUGAAUACAUUAGCAUGGAAUAAUGAAAUAGGACGUUUGAUUCUAUUUUGUUGGUUUCUAGGAUCGACGUAAUGAUUAAUAGGGAUAGUUGGGGGCAUUAGUAUUCAAUUGUCAGAGGUGAAAUUCUUGGAUUUAUUGAAGACUAACUACUGCGAAAGCAUUUGCCAAGGAUGUUUUCAUUAAUCAAGAACGAAAGUUAGGGGAUCGAAGACGAUCAGAUACCGUCGUAGUCUUAACCAUAAACUAUGCCGACUAGGGAUCGGAUGAUGUUGAUUUUAUAAUGACUCAUUCGGCGCCUUACGGGAAACCAAAGUGUUUGGGUUC
rnacentral:rRNA from 1 species